AGCGAGCCCAGCUCCGGUCCCAGCCCCGGCCGUCCCGGCGUCGCUUCGGAGCGCGGCGGCAGCUGACUGCGCCUUCACGAUCCGCUGGGACCCGCGAGCCCCGCCGCCGUUAUGAACAUCCGCAAUGCGAGGCCAGAGGACCUAAUGAACAUGCAGCACUGCAACCUCCUCUGCCUGCCCGAGAACUACCAGAUGAAAUACUACUUCUACCAUGGCCUUUCCUGGCCCCAGCUCUCUUACAUUGCUGAGGACGAGAAUGGGAAGAUUGUGGGGUAUGUCCUGGCCAAAAUGUGAGUCACCAAGGAGGAAGACAGAAGCUACACGUGUCUGGUGGAUGCCUCUGUGGGCUUUAAAAAAAAUGAAUAGGCUUCUUCUUUUCAGUACAGUUGAAAGUUUAUAGAAAAAUUGAACAGAAAGGACAUGGAGUUCUUAUAGCACCCCUCAGCAUCCCCUCCCUGCCAGCUUCCUCUGUUAGUAGCAUGUUGGAUUUGUGUGGUCCACUUGUGACAAGUGAUAAAUGAAUGUGAUAUGUUACUAUUAUUAUUAUUACUAUUAUUAUUUGAGACGGAGUCU
rnacentral:lncRNA from 10 species